AAUCCACUCAAGCCUGGCUUGGUGUUGGGCAACGCGGUCCGCCGCGUGCCUCAAAUCGACCGGCUGGGUCUUCUGUCCCCUAAGCGUUGUGGAAACUAUUCGCUAAAGGGUGCUCGGGAGGCUACGCCGUAAAACAAACCCAUUUCUAA
rnacentral:misc_RNA from 1 species